GAUAGGUCAUACGAUGAAUGCCCUUCGUGAGUUGAGAUGUGGUGUUCACUAGAAAUCCUUAACAUAUAGUCUAUAAUGUUGAGAAUCCGUGGGAAGUUAUGCCUAGCACCGAGAGGAUAUGAAGGAGAGGUGGAUUGCACUUCGUGAGUUGAGAUGUUGUAAACCUAUGUACCUCUUGAGAUGAGUACUUCUCAUUAGUAGAGAAUGAGUUGCUUAGUAGCAAUCUCCUUAUCCCAGAUGUAGCUAUGGAAAAG
rnacentral:misc_RNA from 1 species